rnacentral:rRNA from 1 species
ACGAACGCUGGCGGCGUGCUUAACACAUGCAAGUCGAACGGAAAGGCCCUGCUUUUGUGGGGUGCUCGAGUGGCGAACGGGUGAGUAACACGUGAGUAACCUGCCCUUGACUUUGGGAUAACUUUAGGAAACCGGGGCUAAUACCGGAAAGGAGCUCCUGCUGCAUGGUGGGGGUUGGAAAGUUUCGGCGGUGGGGGAUGGACUCGCGGCUUAUUAGCUUGUUGGUGGGGUGGUGGCUUACCAAGGCUUUGACGGGUAGCCGGCCUGAGAGGGUGACCGGCCACAUUGGGACUGAGAUACGGCCCAGACUCCUACGGGAGGCAGCAGUGGGGAAUAUUGCACAAUGGGCGGAAGCCUGAUGCAGCAACGCCGCGUGCGGGAUGACGGCCUUCGGGUUGUAAACCGCUUUCGCCUGUGACGAAGCGUGAGUGACGGUAAUGGGUAAAGAAGCACCAGCUAACUACGUG